rnacentral:rRNA from 1 species
CCUACGGGAGGCAGCAGUGAGGAAUAUUGGUCAAUGGGCGCGAGCCUGAACCAGCCAAGUAGCGUGAAGGAUGACUGCCCUACGGGUUGUAAACUUCUUUUACAUGGGAAUAAAAUGUUCCACGUGUGGGAUUUUGUAUGUACCAUAUGAAUAAGGAUCGGCUAACUCCGUGCCAGCAGCCGCGGUAAUACGGAGGGUCCGAGCGUUAGCCGGAUUUAUUGGGUUUAAAGGGAGCGUAGGUGGAGUGUUGAGUCAGUUGUGAAAGUUUGCGGCUCAACCGUAGAAUUGCAGUUGAAACUGGCAGUCUUGAGUACAGGAGAGGUGGGCGGAAUUCGUGGUGUAGCGGUGAAAUGCUUAGAUAUCACGAAGAACUCCGAUUGCGAAGGCAGCUCACUGGACUGCAACUGACACUGAGGCUCGAAAGUGUGGGUAUCAAACAGGAGUAGAUACCCCUGUAGUC